UACGUAGGGGGCAAGCGUUGUCCGGAAUCAUUGGGCGUAAAGAGCGUGUAGGCGGCCCGAUAAGUCCGCUGUGAAAGUCCAGGGCUCAACCCUGGAAUGCCGGUGGAUACUGUCGGGCUCGAAUCCGGAAGAGGUGAGUGGAAUUCCUGGUGUAGCGGUGAAAUGCGCAGAUAUCAGGAGGAACACCAAUGGCGAAGGCGGCUUCCUGGCCUGUUCUUGACGCUGAGGCGCGAAAGCUAGGGGAGCAAACGGG
rnacentral:rRNA from 1 species